rnacentral:tRNA from 1 species
UCUCCCAUAGCUCAGUUGGCUAGAGCGUCUGACUGUUAUAAAUCGGGCGUUUUCUGAACUCAGAAACCCACCACCCAGCGGUCAUCAGGAGGUCGUAAGUUCGAGCCUUACUGGGAGAG